rnacentral:lncRNA from 1 species
AUGUUCAUCAAUUGCUGAUUGUUUUCAACUAACCACAAAGAUAUCGGAACACUAUACCUGCUAUUCGGCGCAUUAACAGGGAGAGUAGGCACUGCGUUAAGCCUUCUAAUUCGAGCAGAAUUAGGCCAAUCAGGAACUCUGCUAGAAGAUGAUCAGAUCUACAAUAUUUUUGUUACCACCCACGCAUAUGUCAUAAUCUUCUUUAUGGUAAUACCAAUCAUAAUUGGGGGUUUCGGCAACUAGCUAGUCCCUCUAAUAAUUGGUGCACCCGAUAUGGCAUUCCCCCGGAUAAAUUAUAUGAGCUUCUGACUUCUCCCCCCAUCUUUUCUACUUCUACUUGCAUCUUCAAUAGUAGAAGCUGGCGCUGGAACCGGCUGGACAGUUUAUCCCCCUUUAGCAGGAAACCUAGCACCUGCAGGAGCCUCUGUGGAUCUGAGCAUCUUCUUGCUCCACUUGGCAGGUUUCUCUUCCAUUUUAGGGGCCCUUAACUUUAUUACCACAACUGUUAUCAUAAAACCCCCAGUUAUAUCCCGGUAUCAAACACCGCUUUUCGUCUGACCAGUCCUCAUUACAGCAGUCCUUCUACUCCUUUCCCUCCCAGUCCUAGCCGCCGGCAUUACUAUACUAUUAGCGACUGUAACGUCAACGCUACUUUUUUUGACCCUGCUGGCAGGGGUGACCCCAUCUUGUACCAACAUUUAUUCUGAUUCUUUGGUCACCCUGAAGUCUAUAUCCUAAUCCUACCAGGCUUCGGGUAAUCUCCCACAUCGUAAAGUAUUAUCCUGGAAAAAAGGAACCAUCU